rfam:Gasterosteus aculeatus cont1.013607, whole genome shotgun sequence.
CCACCGGUCUUUUUAAAGACCACACUGAGUCUUUUACCGUCUAUC